rnacentral:rRNA from 1 species
CAUAGGUUAAUGAGGCGAACCGGGGGAACUGAAACAUCUAAGUACCCCGAGGAAAAGAAAUCAACCGAGAUUCCCCCAGUAGCGGCGAGCGAACGGGGAGCAGCCCAGAGCCUGAAUCAGUGUGUGUGUUAGUGGAAGCGUCUGGAAAGGCGCGCGAUACAGGGUGACAGCCCCGUACACAAAAAUGCACAUACUGUGAGCUCGAUGAGUAGGGCGGGACACGUGGUAUCCUGUCUGAAUAUGGGGGGACCAUCCUCCAAGGCUAAAUACUCCUGACUGACCGAUAGUGAACCAGUACCGUGAGGGAAAGGCGAAAAGAACCCCGGCGAGGGGAGUGAAAAAGAACCUGAAACCGUGUACGUACAAGCAGUGGGAGCCUCUUUAUGGGGUGACUGCGUACCUUUUGUAUAAUGGGUCAGCGACUUAUAUUCUGUAGCAAGGUUAACCGAAUAGGGGAGCCGAAGGGAAACCGAGUCUUAACUGGGCGUUAAGUUGCAGGGUAUAGACCCGAAACCCGGUGAUCUAGCCAUGGGCAGGUUGAAGGUUGGGUAACACUAACUGGAGGACCGAACCGACUAAUGUUGAAAAAUUAGCGGAUGACUUGUGGCUGGGGGUGAAAGGCCAAUCAAACCGGGAGAUAGCUGGUUCUCCCCGAAAGCUAUUUAGGUAGCGCCUCGUGAAUUCAUCUCCGGGGGUAGAGCACUGUUUCGGCAAGGGGGUCAUCCCGACUUACCAACCCGAUGCAAACUGCGAAUACCGGAGAAUGUUAUCACGGGAGACACACGGCGGGUGCUAACGUCCGUCGUGAAGAGGGAAACAACCCAGACCGCCAGCUAAGGUCCCAAAGUCAUGGUUAAGUGGGAAACGAUGUGGGAAGGCCCAGACAGCCAGGAUGUUGGCUUAGAAGCAGCCAUCAUUUAAAGAAAGCGUAAUAGCUCACUGGUCGAGUCGGCCUGCGCGGAAGAUGUAACGGGGCUAAACCAUGCACCGAAGCUGCGGCAGCGACACUAUGUGUUGUUGGGUAGGGGAGCGUUCUGUAAGCCUGUGAAGGUGUGCUGUGAGGUAUGCUGGAGGUAUCAGAAGUGCGAAUGCUGACAUAAGUAACGAUAAAGCGGGUGAAAAGCCCGCUCGCCGGAAGACCAAGGGUUCCUGUCCAACGUUAAUCGGGGCAGGGUGAGUCGACCCCUAAGGCGAGGCCGAAAGGCGUAGUCGAUGGGAAACAGGUUAAUAUUCCUGUACUUGGUGUUACUGCGAAGGGGGGACGGAGAAGGCUAUGUUGGCCGGGCGACGGUUGUCCCGGUUUAAGCGUGUAGGCUGGUUUUCCAGGCAAAUCCGGAAAAUCAAGGCUGAGGCGUGAUGACGAGGCACUACGGUGCUGAAGCAACAAAUGCCCUGCUUCCAGGAAAAGCCUCUAAGCAUCAGGUAACAUCAAAUCGUACCCCAAACCGACACAGGUGGUCAGGUAGAGAAUACCAAGGCGCUUGAGAGAACUCGGGUGAAGGAACUAGGCAAAAUGGUGCCGUAACUUCGGGAGAAGGCACGCUGAUAUGUAGGUGAAGUCCCUUGCGGAUGGAGCUGAAAUCAGUCGAAGAUACCAGCUGGCUGCAACUGUUUAUUAAAAACACAGCACUGUGCAAACACGAAAGUGGACGUAUACGGUGUGACGCCUGCCCGGUGCCGGAAGGUUAAUUGAUGGGGUUAGCGGUAACGCGAAGCUCUUGAUCGAAGCCCCGGUAAACGGCGGCCGUAACUAUAACGGUCCUAAGGUAGCGAAAUUCCUUGUCGGGUAAGUUCCGACCUGCACGAAUGGCGUAAUGAUGGCCAGGCUGUCUCCACCCGAGACUCAGUGAAAUUGAACUCGCUGUGAAGAUGCAGUGUACCCGCGGCAAGACGGAAAGACCCCGUGAACCUUUACUA